UACGGGGGGUGCGAGCGUUGUCCGGAAUCACUGGGCGUAAAGGGCGCGUAGGUGGCUUUGUAAGUUUGCGGUGAAAGCCCGGGGCUCAACCCCGGGUCUGCCGUGGAUACUGCAAGGCUUGAGUACUGUAGAGGCAGGUAGAAUAUCGGGUGUAGCGGUGGAAUGCGUAGAGAUCCGAUAGAAGACCGGUGGCGAAGGCGGCCUGCUGGGCAGUAACUGACACUGAGGCGCGACAGCGUGGGGAGCAAACGGG
rnacentral:rRNA from 1 species